AUGCUGUUUGAUUCAGAAGCACAUAUACUAAAAUUGAAAAGAUACAGAGAAGAUUAGCAUGACCCCCUGUGCAAGAAUGACGAGCAUUCCUUAUUUUUUAUAUAUUUAU
rnacentral:snRNA from 1 species